GGGCCCAUAGCUCAACGGUAGAGCGAUUCCCUUUUAAGGAAGAGGUUUGAAGGUUCGAAUCCUUCUGGGCUCA
rnacentral:tRNA from 1 species